rnacentral:rRNA from 1 species
AUGCCGAAGCAGAUCCACGAGAUCAAGGACUUCCUCCUGACGGCGCGGCGGAAGGACGCGCGGUCGGUGCGGAUCAAGAGGACCAAGGACGCCGUCAAGUUCAAGGUGCGCUGCUCCAGGUACCUCUACACCCUCUGCGUCCACGACACCGACAAGGCCAACAAGCUCAAGCAGUCCCUCCCCCCAGGUUUGAACGUCCAGGAGGUUUAA